CCUAGCGUCUUUUUUUUUGUAGAUUCUCCUAUGUCUAAUAAGGCUUGGACUUCCUAGUCUCUCAGAGGAAUCACUGAUAGCCUGAAGACUAUGAUGUGACAGUGACGAAAGACUGCAAUAAAAGGCAGCUGAAACUUUUUGGGCAGAGGUUUCCACUUUCACAAGGCAACAGUGCAUAUGCUUGAUACAAAACCAGUGGGACUCAUUUAGUGACUUGUAACCUGGCAAUGAUUCCUCUGAAGCAUACCUGUGGUGCCCACAUGUGGAGUUUUGCCACUGAUUUCAAUAAGGAGAAAGAAGAGGGUUUACAGUGCUCCACUGGGGAAAAGGGCUUUUGUCUUUGUUGAUGACCUAAACAUGCCUGCCAAGGAGAAAUAUGGUGCCCAGCCUCCCAUUGAACUGCUGCAGCAAUGGAUUGACCAUGGCUACUGGUUUGACAGGUGCAAUAAAUAUUAAUUAGUGUGCUUGGCUACAGAG